rnacentral:tRNA from 1 species
GCCUUCGUGGUGUAAUGGUCAGCACGCUUGACGCGUAAUCAAGAAGUCCGUGGUUCAAUUCCCGGCGAAGGCA